rnacentral:rRNA from 1 species
UACGUAGGGGGCAAGCGUUGUCCGGAUUUAUUGGGCGUAAAGAGCGUGUAGGCGGCCAGACAGGUCCGUUGUGAAAACUCGAGGCUCAACCUCGAGAUGUCGAUGGAAACCGUCUGGCUAGAGUCCGGAAGAGGAGUGUGGAAUUCCUGGUGCAGCGGUGAAAUGCGCAGAUAUCAGGAAGAACACCUAUGGCGAAGGCAGCACUCUGGGACGGUACUGACGCUGAGACGCGAAAGCGUGGGGAGCGAACAGG